rnacentral:lncRNA from 1 species
GGAAAGAGUAAACAAAACCAGGAAAGUAAUCCAUUGAUAAAACGCCAAGUGAUGUUGUUCUGCGGAGCCAGAGUGGGGCCACCUGGGCACAAUUCUCCCACAAAGGAGCCAACUCUACUGGGGCUGAGACCCAGAGCCAUCUGGACUCCCAGGCCAGCCCCAGAGCAUUGAGCAGCGGGUUAGGAUACUUAAGGAGAGGCAAGUCAGGCAAGAAGCAGAAAGACAGGAAAUGGAGAGAUAGGAAGCAGAGAGACAGGAAGUGGAGGGACAGGAAGUGGAGAAUCCAGCAGGGGCCAAUGUUGGACAACACUCCUUUGCCAGCUGUGCUCCCCAUGCAACGGGAUGAGGAGAUUUUAAGCCUCUACCAGAAAAACUCAAAUCUGGAGAUAAUUUAAUUUUUCCUGGGUCUCUGCCAGCCAUCUCCAGAGUUUUGUCAAAUUUUCCACCUACUUCCUCUGUGUGUGGAAACUCAGCCUCCAUUUUAGAACUCCAUUCCCAACAGUGGUUCUGCACCCCCACCCAUGUUUUUUUGUUUGUUUGUUUGUUUGUUUGUUUUUGGUUAUCCUGGAGGUUUUGUGGAUUAAGAUGUGUGAGAUGAGGGGUUUAUAGGGACUGGCUGGAGGUAUGCCCCCCCUUCCACCCACACACCCACACACACAUACACACGCACACGCUGUUGUGCAGAAGAUGUUUCUUGGGUGGCUGAGCAAAGAAUCAGGUAUUUGGAUGUCCUGAUUUGACCCUGAGAAAAAUAGCAGCCAUCCACAGAGCUCUGAAACAUACUUCCCACUGCUUGGAAUGGCAGCUCCUCCUCAGAAUACAAGCAAGGAAACGUGUGGCAUCUGGCUACCAUGAGCUGAAGACAAAGCCUACAUGGGGAAAAGUGCAAAACCAGGAGAAUGGGAGAGAAAUGGAGCCACGCACUGAUGCUGUUGUGAAACAUCUCAAUCAAACUGCACCUGAAGACCGCCCUAUCCCUGCAUUUUUCAUUUACAUGAGCCAAUAAACUCUCUCAUUUAAGUCAA